rnacentral:lncRNA from 1 species
UAUCUGGGAAUCGAGAAUGAAUUGGAAGGAAACCGAGGCGCUGCCCUGGCCAGGUUGCUGCCCCGCACCCUUCCGGAGCACCGAAGUCCUGCCCGGCAACGGGACUUGGAGCUGCCGCAGAGUCAGCCUGAGCCCGAGGCAGGGGUCGCGCCCGCGAUGCGGGGUCUCUGCGCCGCCCCGCGAGGCUCCUGGCCUUGCCCUCCCUGCCCUUUGUUGUGUAAUAAGACCUGUGGCGGCUCCACUGAGACCCACACGUGCAACUCCGCGCCUCCGCGUUAAAGGAGGUGAAACGCAGCAGCCCUGAGAAACCCCGAGACCCCGGUGUCCUAGCAGAGGCGCCCCGGAUGGGGAGGGGCGCGGGGCCGGCGCCACCCCAGAGGAAAAGCCCAGCGGAGCCGGGUUGGGCAGGAGCUGGCGGCGGCGGUGCGCUGGGCCUUCUGCCUUGGAUCCUCCGCGGUCGGCACCGCUUCCCUGCUCAGAUUCGAACCCAGAUUCGGCUCCCAAGGCUCCCACGGCUCCAGGGUGCCCAGUCUUGCAGCCAGCUCGCCGCCCGAGCCCCGGAUGGAGGAAGCGCUCACUGGCCGCUACCUCUGCUGUUUCUGGCACCAGAUGGGCAGCUUCCGGGGACCGGCUUGCACGAUGCCGUGGCCACCCCAGUGGAGACCCUCUGCCCGGCUUUG